GCUCGCGUCUGAUUAGCUAGUUGGUAGGGUAAAGGCUUACCAAGGCGACGAUCAGUAGCUGAUUCGAGAGGAUGAUCAGCCACACUGGAACUGAGACACGGUCCAGACUCCUACGGGAGGCAGCAGUGAGGAAUUUUCUGCAAUGGGCGAAAGCCUGACAGAGCAAUACCGCGUGAGGGAAUUAGAAGGCCUAUGGGUUGUAAACCUCUUUUCUCAAAGAAGAAGAUAUGACGUUAUUUGAGGAAUAAGCAUCGGCUAACCCUGUGCCAGCAGCCGCGGUAAGACAGGGGAUGCGAGUGUUAUUCGGAAUUAUUGGGCGUAAAGCGUUUGUAGGUUGACUUCAAAGUCUUUUGUAAAAUCUUUAAGCUUAACUUAAAAACCGCAAAAGAUACUUGUUUUCUUGAGUAUGGUAGAGGUAAAGGGAAUUUCCAGUGGAGCGGUGAAAUGCGUAGAGAUUGGAAGGAACACCAAAAGCGAA
rnacentral:rRNA from 1 species